rfam:Hordeum vulgare subsp. vulgare, WGS project CAJW01000000 data, contig: morex_contig_1591615
UAAAUACUCGCUCCGUCCCAAUUUUUUUGUCUUAGACUUCUCUAAAUAUGGAUGUAUCUAGUCACGUUUUAGUGCUAGAUACAUCCGUAUCUAGAUAAAUCCUAGACAGGAAUUUUGGAAGGUAGUAUAAG